rnacentral:tmRNA from 1 species
GGGGAUGUAAAGGUUUCGACAGGGGCGAGUGUGGUAUAGAUAGCGAGUCGGCGUUCCAUUGGGCCGUUAAACGGUGGAAAAACAUUUAAACGCAGAAGAAAAUUUUGCAUUAGCUGCAUAAGCUACGUCCCUCAUACUUGUGCCUACCAAGUGUGAAUGGACGUCAAACCGUAGGCU